CGGUAGCUCAGUCGGUAGAGCAGAGGACUGAAAAUCCUCGUGUCGGUGGUUCGAUUCCGCCCCGCG
rnacentral:tRNA from 1 species